AUGGCUGGCGGGAAGGAGGCGGGCGCGCACCGAAUGGGGACGGCCACGGGGGCAGCUGUGGACGCGGCGUUUGACGGAGGAGAGAGUUCUUCCCUGCCUGCCUUGGGCUCUCCCGUUUUUUCCAGGGUGGCUGUGGUCGGUGCCUGCAAGGUGCGGCGAGGGCCGCCAGGGAGCAGGAACAGCCCCCCGCCCCGGGCCCGACCCCUGGCGUGCAGAGCCAGGCGGGUGACGGACAGCGCUGGGGGCCCUCGCAGGCGCUCAGGGACCCAGCAGGUCCCAGCUCUUGAGGCCCGGGCAGCUCCGGCCUCUCUGCGGACCGCAGCCGCGUCCGGGACGCCCGGGAGCGCAGCAGCGGUGGCCUUGAUGUGCGGGGCGCCCUCGGCUCGGGAGCCCAGCCCGCAAUCCCUGAGCGCCCGCCGCGGGCCGCUGGGUCGGCAUCCCUGGACGAGCCGUGGCUAUGCGGGUCCCGGUGGGUGUGGCAAGUGCCCUUGCACCCUGCGGCUCUCCCCACACACCCACGGCCCAGCCUCACCGGGAGAAGGACACCGGGCAGAGCCCGGCAGGGGCUGCCUCCCCGCCAGCCAUGUAGGCCCCUGGGACCAGGCGGGGCUGAGCCCAGGGAGAAGGGACGCCUAGGGGAGGGGCUAUUGUCACAUGAGGUCCUGGGUGGGUCCUGGGACAGGAAUCUGGGUUGUCAAGUGAGAUUUGUGUGUUGUGACACACGUGAUCUCCUACACAGGGGCUGAUGGCAGGGCUGAGGGUGGGUUUAUCCUCUCAUAUCUGCAGCCAUCCAUCACUCUGAAACAAUGUAAACCGAGCGUGUGGUCAAAGCGAUCUCACACACAAGUGCGUGGCUGCGCGCAUCCUGGCCCAGGGUGCUGCGUGGCCUCUCCCCCGCCCAGGUCUGUGUUCCAAGGGGUGCCCCACAGCCUUCUGCAGGCCAGUGGGGUCCAGCUGCCCGCCCACACCUGCCCCUGCUUCUGCAGACGCCCUCGUCAGCAGCCCCGUGCUCCCCCACUGUCCUUCCUGGCUCCCGCCGUGCCAGCACCUGCCUGCCCCGCCCCACGCUCUGCUCCACUGGCGAGCAGACAGCGCCCCGCCACCAUCCAGGUGCACUCGGGGCAGCGGUGCUGGUCUGCCCGCCCGCCCUUGGGCCUGCGUCCCCCGCAGCAGCUUGUCUGACUGUCCCUCUCACCUGCACCCAGCCAGGCCCGUGGCUCCCCUCGUCCUGAGCGCAUCCCUGCUGCCCGCACCCUCUCCCACCUGGCUCUGCAGUCGCUCACUGGGAGCCUUGCUGGGCCUGAAGUGUGGCCCCCGCAGUCCCCUUCUGCCACUUGGGUGCCCCCGGCCUCUUCCCACUGUUUGUGGCACCACCGCGGCGCUGAGUGUGAGCCUGGGUUCAUGGUGGUGGGCGGCUCAUGCAUGAUGCCCACCUGCCCCGCCACACUGGAGGAGCAGGAGGUGCGUGCAUGCAGGCAUUAGAUGACCAGAGCCUUCAGGAUGGCCACUGGGGGUGGCCUGCAUCCCUCACCAUCUUCUGAUCUUUCCCAGUGACGCAGCCUACCCGAUGCCUGUCCUGACACCAUGGGGCCCCAGCAGGUUCUGGGUCAGGAUGCCCAGGUGCCCAGCCCCAUGG
rnacentral:lncRNA from 1 species